UACGUAGGUGACAAGCGUUGUCCGGAUUUACUGGGCGUAAAGAGCGCGCAGGCGGUCGUUCAAGUCGAGUGUGAAAGCCCCCGGCUCAACUGGGGAGGGUCACUCGAUACUGAUCGACUUGAGGGCAGGAGAGGGAAGCGGAAUUCCCGGUGUAGUGGUGAAAUGCGUAGAUAUCGGGAGGAACACCAGUGGCGAAGGCGGCUUCCUGGCCUGCUCUUGACGCUGAGGCGCGAAAGCUAGGGUAGCAAACGGG
rnacentral:rRNA from 1 species